rnacentral:rRNA from 1 species
AUUGAACGCUGGCGGCAGGCCUAACACAUGCAAGUCGAACGAGCGGCGGACGGGGGAGUAAUGUAUGGGGACUGCCCGAUAGAGGGGGAUAACUACUGGAAAAGGUAGCUAAUACCGCAUACUAUCGGAUAACCCAUAUGGGAUUAGCUAGUGGGUGGGGUAAGGGCUCACCUCGGCGACGAUCCCUAGCUGGUCUGAGAGGAUGAGCAGCCACACUGGGACUGAGACACGGCCCAGACUCCUACGGAGGCAGCAGUGGGGAAUAUUGCACAAUGGGCGCAAGCCGGAUGCAGCCAUGCCGCGUGUAUGAAGAAGGCCUUAGGGUUGUAAAGUACUUUCAGUCGGGAGGCGUUACCGACAGAAGAAGCACCGGCUAACUCCGUGCCAGCAGCCGCGGUAAUAC